UACGGGGGGAGCAAGCGUUAUCCGGAUUCACUGGGUUUAAAGGGUGCGUAGGAGGGCAGGUAAGUCAGUGGUGAAAUCUCCGAGCUUAACUUGGAAACUGCCGUUGAUACUAUCUGUCUUGAAUAUUGUGGAGGUGAGCGGAAUAUGUCAUGUAGCGGUGAAAUGCUUAGAUAUGACAUAGAACACCAAUUGCGAAGGCAGCUGGCUACGCAUAUAUUGACACUGAGGCUCGAAAGCGUGGGGAUCAAACAGG
rnacentral:rRNA from 1 species